ensembl:lncRNA
CUGGCAGGCACUGCCCAUGCUGACUGAAGCACGUAGGCAACUGAGUGUCCAUGAGUUGCCUCAGCUUUCACAUAAAGUCUCCUCAUUGCACAUUAACACUAAGUCACUAUCCUGUUAGCAAAUAACCCUGGUAUCCAGUGUUUGAUAAGACAAAUAUUUGAACCAGGUGACAUUCAAGUAUUUUUAUAAAGUAACAUUUUGAAUAAGGCAGCUCUCACAGUUGCUUGGGUGGUAGCAAUUGAUUUUUUUUGUCAUGCAAAUGGAAUGUUGCCUACAGCUGGGAAAAACCCAACUUUCGGGAUAUUCUGGAAAAGUUUUUCUGACUUCUACAGCUUUUAAAAAUAAUUGGAAAGGAAAGACAUGCUGGGAAGAUGAGAAGGAAAGUUGUCUAUAUCAGAGGCCAGCUGAAAUGCAUGAAGCACUGCCUGGGGAUGGAAGAUGAGCUAGCUGAGAACUUAAUGUCUGUGUGUGUUCAUCCAUGAUUUCGCUUCAAAAUGGAAGUUCUUCAUGGAAUAGAUGAUUGUAUUGUUUUAUAAGGAGCUAGCACUAUGAUUGACAGCUGAAGAUUCUACAUAAAACACAGAAAGAAUGACCAAGGACAAAUUUCUGGUGGAGGGCUGAAGUCACAUACCAGUCAAGAAAGAGAUGGAGAAUGUUUAGCUCUGAACAUGUAUGAUACUGCAGAUAAAAGAGCGUAACUCUGGAAAUCAAAGUUCUUGGGAAUUCCUUGGGAGACUGCACGCAGUGUUGGGUACAGUUUAAGAGAGGACUGGUGAACCACAUCUUCACAUCUUCAGCAUUCUACUUGGGUUAGGUCCAGCUCUCUCAAAGGAGCUGAAAAUUCCUGGCAGCUAAAUUGCUUCCCAAAGUUAUAUGCUGCUAUGGGAAGCAGGUCUGGAAAUAAAAGUGAAGGAACUGAACAGAAAAAAAUGGUGAUUGGAUUUAAUGGACUUUGCAUUUGUAAGAGACUAUUCUUUUAUAUGAUUGACUCAAAGUUUGCUGAGGAACAAGUCCAGGCAAGUCCUGGGCAAAGGUAGAGAAAUCUUUUGUCUUGAGGACACUGAUGGACAGGUUCUGGCUAAGGACUGUGAAAUCCUCUAAGGAUCACAGAUGGACAAGGCCAGGGGCAACGAGAGAGAGAUAAGCUGCUGCUAAUGGCCGGGAAAUGGUCUUUUUGUGUGGACUUAUCUCGAGGAAGAUGGCCAUCUCAGGAGGUAUGCACCCAGGGAUGUCAUGUAGGCAGGAGAAAAUGGAGGAUAAAAGAGGGUUCAACAACCACGGCAAUGUAGAGGCUUAUCUCUCACCACGACAGACUUGAGGGGUUCUCUGCCAUCUGGUCCUUCACCACAACAGUGGAGGCUGAUCUCUCACCGCAACACAGAGGCUGAUCUCUCAUGAUCUCUCACCACGACACGAGCUUUUUGCCUUCAGAUCCUUCUCUACGGACCGUUUGCUGAUGGACUUCCCUGGGCAUGCUACCUGAGACCUGCUGCUUCCUCCCUGACCUGCACCCUCUCGUUGCCCAAGACCGGCCUCGCUGCUCCUGCCCUUUGGCCUCGGACCGUCGGAACAUCGUGUAACGGGACUGCUGCCGGAUCCUGGUGGUGACUAUCCCCGCUUUACUCAAUUCUUGCCUCUUUCUAUCUUUUCUAUCUCUUGCCUUCCCUUCCCCAUCACCCCAAUUCUUAAUAGUGUCCGUCCUCCCCUUUCUUAAUCUCCCUUAUUAACAUUUGUAAUAAACUGGUCG